UUGCAUACCAUUUAUCUCUGUUCCAGGAUGGGGCGGCUGCUGUGGACUGUCUGCACUUUUACUCUGCCUCCUUUUGAAGGUUUGAAGGCGCAGGAAGUGUCACCUGAUCCCCAGAACGGCGAGAACCACGACUGUCGGGGUCACAUGACGCUGUUGACCCGAGAACCAACGCUCGUGUCACCACUGCUGUUUCCCUCCUCGACCCAUUUUGCCUUCCUGGAUCCUUGACCUAGCUUUGGACUUUCGGACCCUUUCUCCUGCCUUUGACCCCCGCUUGGACCUUGGACUUUCCCUGGCUUGUUCCCACUCGGAUUUGGAUGCUGAAACAUCCAACACGCAUCUCAACAAACCUUACGGUAUUCACAUAUGGUAAUUCCACACAUAGUCAUUCAUGCAGACACAUAGUAGCAUACACACUCCACGUAUUCAUCAAGUAUUCAAUAAAUCUAUUGAACUUGACA